rnacentral:rRNA from 1 species
AAUGGGGGAAACCCUGAUCCAGCAAUGCCGCGUGCAGGAUGAAGGCCUUCGGGUUGUAAACUGCUUUUGUACGGAACGAAAAGUCUUGGGCUAAUACCCUGGGAUCAUGACGGUACCGUAAGAAUAAGCACCGGCUAACUACGUGCCAGCAGCCGCGGUAAUACGUAGGGUGCAAGCGUUAAUCGGAAUUACUGGGCGUAAAGCGUGCGCAGGCGGUUUUGUAAGACAGUGGUGAAAUCCCCGGGCUCAACCUGGGAACUGCCAUUGUGACUGCAAGGCUGGAGUGCGGCAGAGGGGGAUGGAAUUCCGCGUGUAGCAGUGAAAUGCGUAGAUAUGCGGAGGAACACCGAUGGCGAAGGCAAUCCCCUGGGCCUGCACUGACGCUCAUGCACGAAAGCGUGGGGAGCAAA